UGUUAUGCGCCAAUUGGUUUGUGAUAGAUUUUCCACAGUAGGGGUAGCGGCAUUGACAUCAAACACCACAACUUGUUAGCGCAUGUAGUUCAUAGAGCCUCUUCAAUUUCAUCCAAAGAUCUUUCUAACAUUCUUUGUUUGACUAGGAACUCACAUGUUGGCAAAUUUUCAAAAACUAUAUGUGAAAUACAUGUAAGAAAGAGUAUUGCUUAUAAACUAUAUGAACUGACAUUAUAAAUUAAUUACCUGAUCAUUUUUUUUUUGUAGAAUAGAUCAUAAUUCUAUUCAUUGAAGUUUUCUUGAUCAGGACUCCAGUCAUCAAAAAUUUCUUUUCCCUUAUUCAAAUUCAUAUUUAUGUCUUGUUCUGUCUACAAGUUCAUUCAAUCAAACAAAUGACUUACAUGCUUAGACACAAAGUUUCAAUACAAUAGUUUAUAUUAAUACUUAAAUUUUUUCUUUUUGAGGUAGUAUCUAACAAAUUGAAAACUGUUAUACUUCAUUACUCCUCCUUGUUCUGUAGACCUUUGGAGAAACUGAAGGAUUGGUUGCUAUGUGAAAAUCUAUAAGCAGAGUGAGUUUACUGAAAUAUACAACAGUUAGCUGUACACAUUUGACUUUAACUUCUGUAAGUUAUUCAAGAACAGAGCUUUUCUUAACAGCAAAAGGGCUGUGUUCUAAGCAUACAAAGUCUAUUGGUCAAGCUGUGUCAAAGGAGUUCACUCCGGAAAGAUGGUUCUGCCUCAGGUCGACGCAAUUGAUGUUUAUUUGGAAUGCGUAUAUAUGUAUGGAUUGUUUAUCAGCAACGCGCCUCAUGACAUGUCACCUUCUGUGGACCGUUCUCUUUUUGGAAUGUUUGCUUUGGGGUAUGGUCGUGAUCCUCCACUCACUCUAUGAGUAACUCUCGUCGGUUAAUCCGUUUCAUAGCUCUUUAGAUUUUAAUUUUAUCGAUUCAACUGUUGAAUUAUCUUAACGAAAAUGUAUAUAUUGUUUGAAAAGUAUAUUCAAGCAAUAAUGAAUACCUACAUUCAGCAAGCUUCCAAAAUGCAAUCAGUACCUCCUCAAGAAAUGCCUUUCCCUAAUUUUUUCUUUAGAUGAUUGAAACAAAAAUUGAAAUUUCAAGAGCAAAUUACACAUCAAAAUAUUAAUAUCUUUUCCGCAGCAGAA